ACGGCAGCACGGAGCUUGCUCUGGUGGCGAGUGGCGAACGGGUGAGUAAUAUAUCGGAACGUACCCUAGAGUGGGGGAUAACGUAGCGAAAGUUACGCUAAUACCGCAUACGAUCUACGGAUGAAAGUGGGGGAUCGCAAGACCUCAUGCUCGUGGAGCGGCCGAUAUCUGAUUAGCUAGUUAGCGGGGUAAAAGCCCACCAAGGCAUCGAUCAGUAGCUGGUCUGAGAGGACGACCAGCCACACUGGAACUGAGACACGGUCCAGACUCCUACGGGAGGCAGCAGUGGGGAAUUUUGGACAAUGGGCGCAAGCCUGAUCCAGCAAUGCCGCGUGAGUGAAGAAGGCCUUCGGGUUGUAAAGCUCUUUUGUCAGGGAAGAAACGGUGAGCUCUAAUACAGCUUGCUAAUGACGGUACCUGAAGAAUAAGCACCGGCUAACUACGUGCCAGCAGCCGCGGUAAU
rnacentral:rRNA from 1 species